rnacentral:rRNA from 1 species
AGGGAAUCUUCCGCAAUGGACGAAAGUCUGACGGAGCAACGCCGCGUGAGUGAUGAAGGUUUUCGGAUCGUAAAGCUCUGUUGCCAGGGAAGAAUGCUUGGGAGAGUAACUGCUCCCAAGGUGACGGUACCUGAGAAGAAAGCCCCGGCUAACUACGUGCCAGCAGCCGCGGUAAUACGUAGGGGGCAAGCGUUGUCCGGAAUUAUUGGGCGUAAAGCGCGCGCAGGCGGCCUUGUAAGUCUGUUGUUUAAACUUGGGGCUCAACCCCAAGUCGCAAGGGAAACUGCAAAGCUUGAGUACAGAAGAGGAAAGUGGAAUUCCACGUGUAGCGGUGAAAUGCGUAGAGAUGUGGAGGAACACCAGUGGCGAAGGCGACUUUCUGGGCUGUAACUGACGCUGAGGCGCGAAAGCGUGGGGAGCAAAC